UGAGGCGGAGCUAAUCCCUUAAAGCCAUUCUCAGUUCGGAUUGUAGGCUGAAACUCGCCUACAUGAAGCUGGAGUUACUAGUAAUCGCAGAUCAGAAUGCUGCGGUGAAUGCGUUCCCGGGUCUUGUACACACCGCCCGUCACACCAUGGGAGUCGGAAAUGCCCGAAGCCAGUGACCCAACCUUUAAGGAGGGAGCUGUCGAAGGCAGGUCUGGUAACUGGGGUGAAGUCGUAACAAGGUAAC
rnacentral:rRNA from 1 species